CCUUAGAGUUUGAUCCUGGCUCAGGACGAACGCUGGCGGCGCGCCUAACACAUGCAAGUCGAACGGAGCUUAGAGAGCUUGCUUUUUAAGCUUAGUGGCGAACGGGUGAGUAACGCGUGAGUAACCUGCCCUAGAGUGGGGGACAACAGUUGGAAACGACUGCUAAUACCGCAUAAGCCCACGGUACCGCAUGGUACUGAGGGAAAAGGAUUUAUUCGCUUUAGGAUGGACUCGCGUCCAAUUAGCUAGUUGGUGAGGUAACGGCCCACCAAGGCGACGAUUGGUAGCCGGACUGAGAGGUUGAACGGCCACAUUGGGACUGAGACACGGCCCAGACUCCUACGGGAGGCAGCAGUGGGGGAUAUUGCACAAUGGGGGAAACCCUGAUGCAGCGACGCCGCGUGGAGGAAGAAGGUUUUCGGAUUGUAAACUCCUGUCGUUAGGGACGAUAAUGACGGUACCUAACAAGAAAGCACCGGCUAACUACGUGCCAGCAGCCGCGGUAAAACGUAGGGUGCAAGCGUUGUCCGGAAUUACUGGGUGUAAAGGGAGCGCAGGCGGGAAGACAAGUUGGAAGUGAAAACCAUGGGCUCAACCCAUGAAUUGCUUUCAAAACUGUUUUUCUUGAGUAGUGCAGAGGUAGAUGGAAUUCCCGGUGUAGCGGUGGAAUGCGUAGAUAUCGGGAGGAACACCAGUGGCGAAGGCGGUCUACUGGGCACCAACUGACGCUGAGGCUCGAAAGCAUGGGUAGCAAACAGGAUUAGAUACCCUGGUAGUCCAUGCCGUAAACGAUGAUUACUAGGUGUUGGGGGGAAUUGACCCCCUCAGUGCCGCAGUUAACACAAUAAGUAAUCCACCUGGGGAGUACGACCGCAAGGUUGAAACUCAAAGGAAUUGACGGGGGCCCGCACAAGCAGUGGAGUAUGUGGUUUAAUUCGAAGCAACGCGAAGAACCUUACCAGGUCUUGACAUCCGAUGCAUAGCACAGAGAUGUGUGAAAUCCUUCGGGACAUCGAGACAGGUGGUGCAUGGUUGUCGUCAGCUCGUGUCGUGAGAUGUUGGGUUAAGUCCCGCAACGAGCGCAACCCUUAUUGCCAGUUACUACGUCAAGAGGACUCUGGCGAGACUGCCGUUGACAAAACGGAGGAAGGUGGGGAUGACGUCAAAUCAUCAUGCCCUUUAUGACCUGGGCUACACACGUACUACAAUGGCGUUAAACAAAGAGAAGCAAGACCGCGAGGUGGAGCAAAACUCAAAAACAACGUCUCAGUUCAGAUUGCAGGCUGCAACUCGCCUGCAUGAAGUCGGAAUUGCUAGUAAUCGCGGAUCAGCAUGCCGCGGUGAACACGUUCCCGGGCCUUGCACUCACCGCCCGUCA
rnacentral:rRNA from 1 species